AGCUGAAAACAGAGAGGCAACCUUGUUUCCUGUAAGUCAACAACAAUAGUAACAACAUUGUUAUUCAUUGUGUAGUGGGUGCUGCCUUGAGUUCUUUUGCUAAUUAUCCUAAUAGUCUCAUCAACUCUAUGACCAUGAUUUAUAGAUGAUGAGACUGAGGUGCAGCCAGGAUGUGGCUGAGUGGCACCAGGCUUUCCUGUAGCACCCAAUAUGCUGUCCUGCCAAUUGGUGUGGGACAGCGUCCAGGCCAGGGGCUCUCAAAGUGCCUGCUGCUGGAGUCACUCAUAGGGUAUUAAAAGCUCUCCAUGUCUAGGUAUCCCUCUGCCUCCUCCCCUUGUGUUUUUAUUUACUUGGUCCAGUGUUUCAGGGGAAGGUGCUAUGCAUUUAGGAUUGAGAACCUUUGAACUCGAGCAGUGGUUCUUAAAAUUUGGUCCCGAGAACAGCAUCGUCACCUGGUCAUUUGAUAGAAGUAGACCUUUUUAGUAGCAUUAAGUAUAUUCACAUUGUGAAACAGAGCUCCAGAACGUUCUCACCUUGCACACCUGAAACUCUGUACCCAUUAAACAGUUCCCCCUUCUCCACCCCUGGUGACCACCAUUUUACUUUGGUUUCUGUGAAUUUGACUGCUUUCAGGACCUCAUCUGAGUAGAACUGCAGGUGAUUCUUAAGGACACUCAAGCUUGAGAGCCCCUGAGCUCCACAAUUUGAUUGGGUGUAUCUCCCUCCAGGCUCCUGCCCACAUCAUUAAUUAUCAGCCAUACUGUAAAUGUCACACAUACCUUGUGCAUGCCUCGCCUUUCCUAGUUCUGCUUCUGCCGGCUUGUUCUGUGUGACCCUCAUCAAGUUACCUAACUUCCCCGAGGUGGUGUCUUAUCCUUAUAAAGGAGGUAACCUAAUUUAUAGAGUUUGGUAGAAGUGAAAUGAUACACAUGUGAAAAUACAUGGGAAAGAAUUUUAUAAGCUGUCAGGUGGCAUACUAAUGAAAUAUUAAGUAUAGAAGUAUCUUUUUUUUUUUUUUUCUUUUUUCUUUGACUGGGCCUGUGACAUGCGGAAGUUCCCAGGCCAGAGAUUGAACCCGUGCCACAGCAGUGACAAUACUGAAUCCUUAACUGCUAGGCCACUGGGCAACUUCUAGAAGUAUCUUUUUUAAGUUUAGUUUUUGCUUUUAUUGAAGUUGUACAAGCUUGAUUUUUAAAGAAUUAUAUCCCCUUUAUGCUGUUGCUUCCUGCUCCCCCUACCCCAGUUUCUUUUGGGCCAUGUCUGUGGCAUAAGGAAGUUCCCAGGCUAGUGGUCUAAUUGGAGCUGCAGCUGCCAGCCUGCACCACAGCCACAGCAAUACCAGAUCUGAGCCACGCCUGCAAUUUAUGCCGUGCCUCAUGGCAGUACUGGAUCCUUAACCCACUGAGUGAGGCUAGGGAUUGAACCCACAUCCUCAUGGAUACCAUUCAGGUUUAUUACCCCUGAGUCACAGCAGGAAUGCUCCACUUUCUUGUUUGGUGUUUUAUCUUAUACUGUUUAAACAGGAUUCGCAGAUACACUAUAUGGUAUAGUUUGAUUUCUUUAACUUUCCUGCAUACAGAUUUUUCUUGGAUUUAAUCAUUGUCUUGUUUUAAAGAAUUUUUCUGCACUUAUCGCUGAUUUAGCCACAAGCAGCCUUCCAUGUGGAUCUCCUCUCAACAUCUUAGGUAUUUAAUCAAUUGUAUCUUCUUGAUCACACCUCACCUGGAAUCCUAGGCUCUGCCCCAGUGUAGCCUACUUCCUCUCUAGGCCUGGCUGCACCACAUUUUGAGAUGGACUCUUCCUUCAGUAUCACCAUGGGGGUUUAUCUUAUCUUGCUUCUGUAUGGGCUUCCUUGUUUCCCUGCAGUCCAUAUUCUCUUCUUUCUUGGUGUAUUCCCUUAUUUUGACAGGCCGUGUGAUCUGGAACCUUCCUAACCAAUUACACAGGAGUUAGGUAAGACUUGCAGUUGUUUUGUGUCUGAGAGCAUCACAUUCAUAUUUAAUGUACCGCCUGACUGGUGUGGAGUUCCAGACUGAAGGUCUCUGAAGCUCGGAGUAGUGAAGGAUUUGCUCCCUGCGAUCUGCCACUUGUCCUGUGACUGUGAUCUUUUCCGUUGUUGGUGGUGAGAUGUCUAAGACCUCUGAGCCCCCAGUCCUUGGCAGGUGACUGACUUUCCCACUUUUUCUCUCAGACACCUAGUUCUUCUCUUUCUCUUCAGUCUGGUGAAAUGUCAUGGUAACAUUCCUAGGUGAGGAGGGUCUGUUUUUAUUUCUUGUGCUGAGAUCGAAAUGGGCAUUUUCAGGCUGAAAACUCACCUUUUUCCUUUUUAAGGAAUAUUCUUGAAGUCUGUCAAAAAAAUUGCCUUUCCCCCCUCUUUUCCUCCGUUCUUUCCUUCGAAAUUCCUAUUAGAUGUUGGUAUACUUAUCCUGUAACUGUGGUCUUUUCACCUGUUUUGCACAUGUGUUUUUAAGCUGUUUUCUUAGAAUAUUUCCUCAGCUUUACUUUCUAAUCGUUCUAUUGAAUUUUUUAUGUUUGUUAUCAUGUUUUUAUUUUUUUGGUUUGUUGUUCUCUGAUUGUUUCUCUUUUCUAGACUGGUUAUUUUUAAGAUUAUUUUCUUUUAGGUUCUGGGGAGAUUAAUUGUGUUUUGUUUUUUCUUUGUGAUGCUUUCUUUUUCUGCAUGAUUUUUGUUAGGUGGCAUUUUUUCCUGUUUGUUUCUGUCUUUCAUGUUAGGUAUUUUAAGUGUCUAAUGAUCUUUGAGUGUCGGUUCAUGUGUAAGAAUGGGGCCUCACAAACUGUAAGAUACGACUUCUUUGGGUCUACUAAAUCAAUUUCCAUUAUCAAUUUGGUUUCCAGCUUUAAAAAGUUUAAAUUUUGGAGUUCCCAUCAAGGCUCAGUGGUAACAAACCCGAUUGCUCUCCAUGAGGAUAUGGGUUUGAUCCUGGCCUCGCUCAGUGGGUUAGGGAUCCGGCAUUGCUGUGAGCUGUGAUGUAGGUCACAGAUGUGGCUUGGAUCUGGUGUUGCUGUGGCUGUGGUGUAGGCCAGCAGCUGCAACUCCGAUUUGACCCCUAGCCUGGGAACUUCCAUAUGCUGUGGGUGCGGCCCUAAAAAAAAAAAAAGUUUAUGAGUUCCCAUCGCGGCUCAGUGGUCAUGAACCCGACUAGUAUCCAUGAGGACACAGGUUCGAUCCCUGGCCUUGCUCAGUGUGUUAAGGAUCUGGUGUUGCCAUAAGCUGUUGUGUAGCUCAAAGAUGUGGCUCAUCUCAGAUCCUGCAUUGCUGUGACUGUGGUUGUGCUCUGAUUUGACCCCUAGCCUGGGAACCUCCAUAUGCCACGGGUGUGGCCCUAAAUAGACAAAAGACCAAAAAAAAAAGUUUAAAAUUUUAAUAACUCUUGUUAUCUUUGUCCUUGUGGAUUUAUGUCUUUAAAAAGCAAUAAUUGUUGUAUUGGGGUUUUAGGAGGGAGAGGAAGCAAAUAUGUAUGUCUAUCCACUGUCUUUAACUGGAAGUCAGUGUAGAAGUC
rnacentral:lncRNA from 1 species